UACGUAGGGUGCAAGCGUUAAUCGGAAUUACUGGGCGUAAAGCGUGCGCAGGCGGCUAUGCAAGACAGAUGUGAAAUCCCCGGGCUCAACCCUGGGAACUGCAUUUGUGACUGCAUAGCUAGAGUUUGUCAGAGGGGGGUGGAAUUCCACGUGUAGCAGUGAAAUGCGUAGAGAUGUGGAGGAACACCGAUGGCGAAGGCAGCCCCCCUGGGACCUGACUGACGCUCAUGUACGAAAGCGUGGGGAGCAAACAGG
rnacentral:rRNA from 1 species